rnacentral:rRNA from 1 species
AAGCUCGUAGUUGAAUUUCGGGGUUAGUAGGUUGGUCAUGCCUCUGGUAUGUACUGGUCUCACUGAUUCCUCCUUCCUUAUGAACCGUAAUGCCAUUAAUUUGGUGUUGCGGGGAAUUUGGACUGUUACUUUGAAAAAAUUAGAGUGUUUAAAGCAAGCUAACGCUUGAAUACAUUAGCAUGGAAUAAUGAAAUAGGACGUUCGAUCUUAUUUUGUUUGGUUUUCUUAGGUAUUGACGUAAUGAUUAAUAGGGAUAGUUGGG